UUCCCCAACUCAGUGUGUGUGUGUGUGUGUGUGUGUGUGUGUGUGUGUGUGUGUGUGUGUGUGUGUGUGUGUGCGUGUCCAUUCCCCAAUUCAGUGUGUGUGUGUGUGUGUGUGUGUGUGUGUGUUUGUGUGUGAGUGUGUGUGCGUGCGUGUCCAUUCCCCAAUUCAGUGUGUGUGAGUGUAUUUGGGUGUGAUUGUGUGUGUGUGAGUCAUUCCCUCAGUCUUUUAGUUCAGUUUUGUGUUUAUCUGCCCUUCUUUGGUUAUGCUUCCCCAGUUAGAUAAUUGUUGUCACCUGUCUUCCCUCCAGCCCUCACUCCACACACCUGCUUCCUGUUUCCCUAAUUGUUCCUCCCAGUCUAUUUAAGCCCUGUCUUGUCUCUGUGUUGUUGUUGGUCCAUUGUAUUUCUUGGUCAGCGUUGUUUUGUCUCUAGUCUUUAGUCUCAGUCUUUAGUUCUCUGCUCAAAAGGUGAGCUUUUGGAUUUUUGUCUUAGUUUAGCUAUUUGGUUUUUGCCUUCGCUCCCUUGGAUUUUUGGUUCUCCUCCUAAAUAAAGGAUUUUUACUUUAUACCAACUCCUGCCUCGUGUCGUCUGGGGUUUACUGCAUCUUGGGUCCUAACAACCUCCUCCUUGCUCUCAACGUGACAGAGAGCCUGUCUGUGACCUCCUGAUGCCCCAGAGACUCCAGCCUCAGCCUGAUGAUAUGAACUUCAUGCCAAAGCAGGGCCAUGAGAACACAAAGAAGUGCUGCUCCGGUGUCCUGACCCUGGACACCUGCAGUCCUACAGAGAAAAUCAGAGACCACAGGUCAGCUGCAGCUCCUUCCAGGUGCCCUGCCCCCCUGUGGGCUUCUCCGGAGUGACUGCAAUUGCUCAAUUACCACCCUCACUUAAGCCUCUGUUUCCAGGCCUCAAAGUUGCGUUGUUUUUUCUGUAUUGCUUAAUAGAGCGAGAGUGCCUUCGUGUUUGUGACUUCUGAUUAGUUUUUUCCCACUGUGUGUGGUGAUUUUUGGUUAUUAAAGACCCUGAACCAGAACCAAGGCUUGUUUUUCCCGCAAUUGGGUUACUGCCUGAACCCCACGGUGAUAGAUAGAUUGAUAGAUCAAUAGAUAGAUAGGAUACAUAGAUCAAUAUAUAAAUAGAUCGAUAGAUCAAUAUAGAUGAGUAGAUAAAUAUAUAGAUAGAUGCAGUGCAUGAGCACAUGACGCAGCACACAAAUUUAGCUCUGAACCGACCCCCCCAUUCCUCCAGCUGUUCCCUACUUUCUAACUACAACAGAAACCAAACAACCUUUGACCAAUUAAAAGACACCAUUGAUUACCUUCA